rnacentral:sRNA from 1 species
CGCCGAAUUGCCUGCGGGCAAACCGGGGACCCAUACAGGUCGGUUUAACGGGCCUUCGGGGUGAAUCCGUGCUUUCAACGGUAGGGCGUUCUUCGGCCCGAACCCGGCAGCUAACCCGGUAGGCGGUCGACGAAG